GUUUAGGGGGCCUGGAGAGGGUGUCCCCCACACUGGUACUGAACCGGACCAGACUCCUACGGGAGGCAGCAGUGAGGAAUAUUGGGCAAUGGACGAAAGUCUGACGCAGCCAUGCCGCGUGCAGGAAGAAUGCCUACGGGUUGUAAACUGCUUUUAUAUGAGAAGAACCGGGGNACGUGUCGGGGGGUGACGGUAUCAUAUAA
rnacentral:rRNA from 1 species